UGGCGGACGGGUGAGUAACGCGUGGGUAACCUACCCUAAAUCCUGGGGGCAACAGGCUGGAAACGGCUGCUAAUACCGGAUACUCUCUUGAAGCGGCAUCGCUUUAAGAGGAAAGGUGGCCUCUUCUAUGCUACCGAUAAAGGAUGGACCCGCGUCUGAUUAGCUAGUUGGUAAGGUAACGGCUUACCAAGGCUACGAUCAGUAGCCGGCCUGAGAGGGUGACCGGCCACGACUGGGACUGAGACACGGCCCAGACUCCUACGGGAGGCAGCAGUGGGGAAUCUUCCGCAAUGGGCGAAAGCCUGACGGAGCAACGCCGCGUGAAUUGAAGAAGGCCUUCGGGUCGUAAAGUUCUGUUGAAAGGGAAGAAGUCUUUUCAUGUGAAUAAUGUGAGAAGGUGACGGUACCUUUUGAGGAAGCUCCGGCUAACUACGUGCCAGCAGCGGC
rnacentral:rRNA from 1 species